rnacentral:RNase_P_RNA from 1 species
GGAGCAGGCCGGGCAGCCGCUGCGGGUCCCGUGCGUACGGCGGGACGGCCCGCAGAGGAAAGUCCGGGCACCACAGGGCAGGGCGCUGGGUAACGCCCAGUGGGGGCGACCCCAAGGACAGUGCCACAGAAACAUACCGCCGGCCGCUCGGCCGGUAAGGGUGCAAUCGUGCGGUAAGAGCGCACGGCGUGCCGGGUGACCGGCGCGCGGGCAAACCCCGCCCGGUGCAAGGCCAUGUAGGGGGAGAUGAGGCGGCCCGCCG